rnacentral:lncRNA from 1 species
GGGAACCUGCGGCCGCACGGGGAGGCUUCAACGUCUUCGGUGAUGGCCUAGUGCGCCUAGAUGGCCAGCUCUAUCGCCUCAGCAGUUACAUCAAGAGAUACGUGGAAUUGACCAACUACUGUGAUUACAAAGACUACAGGGAAACGAUACUGAGCAAACCCAUGCUGUUCUUUGUUAACGUGCAGACCAAGAAGGACAUCUCAAAAGAAAGGACCUACGCGUUUCUUGUGAACACAAGGCACCCCAAGAUAAGAAGACAGAUAGAGCAAGGGAUGGACAUGGUCAUCUCCUCUGUCAUUGGAGAAAGCUAUAGACUUCAGGUUCAAUAGAUGAUGUUUUUAACUGCAACCUGUCACCCAGAUCAUCAGUUACAGAACCACUUUUGGCAGAAUUCUCAUUUCCAAGUGUUCUGGAAUCUGAAGAGACAUCCAGCCAAUCUCUCUGACUGGUCUGAACAUUCUGGGUGUUGUCCCAUCGAGGUCUGUGGCAGACAGUGCGUUGAAGGGGGAAGAGGAAACGGGGUGGACGUGUCCAUCCCGUUGCCAGCCUCUGGCCCUCCAAGGUUCUAUAGAGGACACUUUUUCCCAUUUCCCUAGGCACGGUGCCCUGGCAGGCCCAGUGGCUUCCAUCAGGGGUAUGAUGAUGGGAUGGAAGGACUUUGUCUCUAUGGUUUAGGGUGUCAUUGACAUUGAACACUUCUCUGAAGAAUCGGAGGAAUUCUCAGGGGCAAGCACCCAUGAACUUUGCU